ACUUGAAAGUUCACGUUUAUUACAUUCUUCUUCUUCUUCUUUUAUUUACGGCAAACCAUCGCUUUUUGCGACAUUCU